GAUGAACGCUAGCGGCAGGCUUAAUACAUGCAAGUCGAGGGGCAUCAAGGUACACGAAAGUGUAUUGUUGGCGACCGGCGGACGGGUGAGUAAUAGGUAGGUAACCUACCUCAUACUGAGGCAUAGCUGGGAGAAAUUCCAGGUAAUUCCUCAUGAGGUUAUAUGACACAUGUGAUAUAAUCAAAGGUAUCGCAAGGUACUGGUAUGAGAUGGGCUUACUGACCAUUAGCUAGUUGGUGAGAUAAGAGCUCACCAAGGCGAAGAUGGUUAGGGGUUUUGAGAGAGAGAUCCCCCCACAUUGGAACUGAGAUACGGUCCAGACUCCUACGGGAGCAGCAGUAGGGAAUAUUGGGCAAUGAGCGGAAGCCUGACCCAGCCAUGCCGCGUGAAGGAAGACGGCCUUAUGGGUUGUAAACUUCUUUACUAUGCGACUAACUAGAUUUACGAGAUAAUUCUAUAGAAUGUAGCAUAGCAAAAGCACCGG
rnacentral:rRNA from 1 species